ACCCUUCUGUAGUUCAUAAGCAUGAGAUAUGGCAACCUCAAACCUUGUUACAUCGGCACGUUACCUGUCUGACA
ensembl:snoRNA